GAUGAACGCUGGCGGCGUGCCUAAUACAUGCAAGUCGAGCGAACGGACGAGAAGCUUGCUUCUCUGAUGUUAGCGGCGGACGGGUGAGUAACACGUGGAUAACCUACCUAUAAGACUGGGAUAACUUCGGGAAACCGGAGCUAAUACCGGAUGAUAUUUUGAACCGCAUGGUUCAAUAGUGAAAUACGGUCUUGCUGUCACUUAUAGAUGGAUCCGCGCUGCAUUAGCUAGUUGGUAAGGUAACGGCUUACCAAGGCAACGAUGCAUAGCCGACCUGAGAGGGUGAUCGGCCACACUGGAGCUGAGACCCGGUCCAGACUCCUACGGGAAGGCGCAGUAGGGAAUCUUCCGCAAUGGGCGAAAGCCUGACGUAGCAACGCCGCGUGAGUGAUGAAGGUCUUCGGAUCGUAAAACUCUGUUAUUAGGGAAGAACAUAUGUGUAAGUAACUGUGCACAUCUUGACGGUACCUAAUCAGAAAGCCACGGCUAACUACGUG
rnacentral:rRNA from 1 species